rnacentral:misc_RNA from 1 species
CCUAGAUCCCGAUCAAGAAACAUGUUGAGAAACGCCGGAAAGCGCCUCCUAGGGUUAGGGUUUGCCGCCCCUAACUCAUCCGCUUCCGCCGCUCCUGCGGCGGCGGCGCUAAGGUGGCGAUCGUACCACGAGCGCGUGGUCGAUCACUACAACAACCCGAGGAACGUCGGCUCCUUCGACAAGAAUGAUCCCAAGGUCGGCACCGGGCUCGUCGGCGCUCCGGCCUGCGGUGACGUCAUGAAGCUCCAGAUCAAGGUUGAUGAUGAUGGCAAGAUCACUGAUGCUUGCUUCAAGACGUUCGGCUGUGGAUCCGCGAUCGCCUCGUCGUCUGUCGCUACUGAAUGGGUGAAGGGCAGGACCUUGGAGGAAGUUAUGACAAUCAAGAAUGUGGAAAUUGCGAAGCACCUUUCGCUCCCACCAGUGAAACUGCACUGCAGCAUGCUUGCUGAGG